rnacentral:rRNA from 1 species
UACGUAAGGGGCAAGCGUUGUUCGGAAUCAUUGGGCGUAAAGGGCGUGUAGGUGGCGCGCUAAGUCGGGUGUGAAAUUUCGGAGCUUAACUCCGAAACUGCAUUCGAUACUGGCGUGCUUGAGGACUGGAGAGGAGACUGGAAUUCAUGGUGUAGCAGUGAAAUGCGUAGAGAUCAUGAGGAAGACCAGUGGCGAAGGCGGGUCUCUGGACAGUUCCUGACACUGAGACACGAAGGCCAGGGGAGCAAACGGG